rnacentral:rRNA from 1 species
GGAAUUUUCCGCAAUGGGCGCAAGCCUGACGGAGCAAUACCGCGUGAGGGAUGACGGCCUGUGGGUUGUAAACCUCUUUUCUCAAGGAAGAAGUUCUGACGGUACUUGAGGAAUAAGCAUCGGCUAACUCUGUGCCAGCAGCCGCGGUAAUACAGAGGAUGCAAGCGUUAUCCGGAAUCACUGGGCAUAAAGCGUCUGUAGGUGGUUUGGUAAGUCUGCUGUUAAAGACUGGGGCUCAACCCCAGAAAAGCAGUGGAAACUGCCAGACUUGAGUGUGGUAGAGGUAGAGGGAAUUCCUAGUGUAGCGGUGAAAUGCGUAGAUAUUAGGAAGAACACCAAUGGCGAAAGCACUCUACUGGGCCAUAACUGACACUAAGAGACGACAGCUAGGGGAGGGGGUGGGAUUAGAUACCCCAGUAGUC